CCUACGGGAGGCAGCAGUAGGGAAUUUUCGGCAAUGGGGGGAACCCUGACCGAGCAACGCCGCGUGAACGAAGAAGUUAUUCGGAAUGUAAAGUUUCUUUAACAGGGAAGAAAGAGCAAUUUGGCGUUACCUGAAGAAUAAGCUCCGGCUAACUACGUGGCAGCAGCCGCGGUAAUACGUAGGGAGCGAGCGUUAUCCGGAAUUAUUGGGCGUAAAGGGUGCGUAGAUGGCAUAGUAAGUCUUUUGUAAAAGUGCUGGGCUCAACCCAGUAGCGCAAAAGAUACUGAAAAUCUAGAGUAUGACAGAGGCAAGUGGAACUACCUGUGUAGCGGUAAAAUGCGUAAAUAUAUGUAAGAACACCAGUGGCGAAGGCGGCUUGCUGGGUCGAUACUGACAUUGAGGCACGAAAGCGUGGGGAGCGAACAGGAUUAGAUACCCGGGUAGUC
rnacentral:rRNA from 1 species